CUUCACCCCAAACACACUCUUGUUUCGUAUCGUCGUAGUGGAGGAGUUCCUUCCGGCUGGUCGGAAUAUCCAAGGAUUAAUCAUGAUUUGCACCAUGUAGGCAAUUCCAGCCAGAAUCCCGAAAGAGAAUGCAGGUACCCAGCAGCGUAGGUAAAAAUGAUCAAACAAAAAUACCAUCGAAGCUGAAAUUCUAAUGUUUGACUCUUCUGCGUUUCAACACCGGCGACAGAACAACAAUAAUCGGCGUAUAACACCUGCAGAGCCACCGGAAACAAAAUAUUAUUUUCAUUGCCAGGCAGGGUUCGCUGGUACCAUAUCGCAUCCGGCUAUUCGGAAUAUCCAAGGAUUAAUCAUGAUUUGCACCAUGUAAGCACUGCUAGUCGGUAUUCCGGAAGAGAACGCUGGUGCCCAGCAGACUAAAUGAUCUAAUCGACGACAAUCAAAUGAAAAUAAUACCACCGAAGUCGAAAUUCGAGCGUUUGGCUGUUCGGCGUUUUAACACCGGUAACAGAACAACAAUAAGCGGAGAAUAUCACGGGCAGAUUCGUACCCUCGCAUCGGAGCAUUCCUUGUAAGAAAACGCAUAUUUGUAUAAGCCACCGGAAGCAUAAUGUUGUUUCUGUCGCCUACAACAGUAAUUCGGUACCGUAUAGAAUCCGGCUGUAAGGAAUAUCAGGAUUAAUUUUGUCUUCAGGAUUUGCACCCCAUAAUCAAUGUCAAUGAAUCAUUGGCAGUGGCUGAUUUUCUACCCGUCGCUGCCACAUCCAGGCGUUAUCGUAUAUGCGCAAAUAGUUAGCAUGAAUUAACCGCCAGAAAUUUGUAUGGCGAAAGACAUCUAACGUGGGUUUUCUCACAAUUAGGAACUUUUCAUGAAAAACUAUUUGGUACCGGUUGUGUAGGAAGGUAUCCGCUACUACGCCUACCAAAUAUUUUUUCGAUGAAGGUGCUUAAUUUUGAGAAAUCGAACCUUAGAUGUCUUUCGCCAUACAAAUUUCAGAUAGUUAACUCCUAGUGUGCCGCUGUAAGCACGCUCAAAGUAGGCGAUUCAUUAGAAUCACGGAUUUUAAUUUAAUAUUUUCAUGCAGCCCAAGGCUGGCUCAUCUCGGAUUUAAUUUAUUUUUAAUUUAAUUUAAUUUAUUUUUUGUUGGCUGGCUCG